UAGAGUUUGAUCCUGGCUCAGAUUGAACGCUGGCGGCAUGCCUUACACAUGCAAGUCGAACGGUAACGGGUCCUUCGGGAUGCCGACGAGUGGCGAACGGGUGAGUAAUAUAUCGGAACGUGCCCAGUAGUGGGGGAUAACUGCUCGAAAGAGCAGCUAAUACCGCAUACGACCUGAGGGUGAAAGGGGGGGAUCGCAAGACCUCUCGCUAUUGGAGCGGCCGAUAUCAGAUUAGCUAGUUGGUGGGGUAAAGGCCUACCAAGGCAACGAUCUGUAGUUGGUCUGAGAGGACGACCAGCCACACUGUGACUGAGACACGGCCCAGACUCCUACGGAAGGCAGCAGUGGGGAAUUUUGGACAAUGGGCGCAAGCCUGAUCCAGCAAUGCCGCGUGCAGGAAGAAGGCCUUCGGGUUGUAAACUGCUUUUGUCAGGGAAGAAAUCUUCUGGGCUAAUACCCCGGGAGGAUGACGGUACCUGAAGAAUAAGCACCGGCUAACUACGUGCCAGCAGCCGCGGUAAUACGUAGGGUGCGAGCGUUAAUCGGAAUUACUGGGCGUAAAGCGUGCGCAGGCGGCUUUGCAAGACAGAUGUGAAAUCCCCGGGCUCAACCUGGGAACUGCAUUUGUGACUGCAAGGCUAGAGUACGGCAGAGGGGGAUGGAAUUCCGCGUGUAGCAGUGAAAUGCGUAGAUAUGCGGAGGAACACCAAUGGCGAAGGCAAUCCCCUGGGCCUGUACUGACGCUCAUGCACGAAAGCGUGGGGAGCAAACAGAAUUAGAUACCCUGGUAGUCCACGCCCUAAACGAUGUCAACAGGGUGUUGGACGGCUAGCUGUCCAGUAAGAAGCUAACGCGUGAAGUUGACCGCCUGGGGAGAACGGCCGCAAGGUUAAACUCAAAGGAAUUGCGGGGGACCCGCACAAAGCGGUGGAUGAUGUGGUUUAAUUCGAUGCAACGCGAAAAACCUUACCUACCCUUGACAUGUCAAGAAUUUCGCAGAGAUGUGAAAGUGCUCGAAAGAGAACUCCAACACAGGUGCUGCAUGGCCGUCGUCAGCUCGUGUCGUGAGAUGUUGGGUUAAGUCCCGCAACGAGCGCAACCCUUGUCAUUAGUUGCUACGCAAGAGCACUCUAAUGAGACUGCCGGUGACAAACCGGAGGAAGGUGGGGAUGACGUCAGGUCCUCAUGGCCCUUAUGGGUAGGGCUACACACGUCAUACAAUGGCCGGUACAGAGGGCUGCCAACCCGCGAGGGGGAGCCAAUCCCAGAAAACCGGUCGUAGUCCGGAUCGUAGUCUGCAACUCGACUGCGUGAAGUCGGAAUCGCUAGUAAUCGCGGAUCAGCUUGCCGCGGUGAAUACGAUGCGCGGGUCUUGUACACACCGCCCGUCA
rnacentral:rRNA from 1 species